GACGUAGGGCGCGAGCGUUGUCCGGAUUUAUUGGGCGUAAAGAGCUCGUAGGCGGCUUGUCGCGUCGACUGUGAAAACCCGUGGCUCAACCAUGUGGUCUGCAGUCGAUACGGGCAGGCUAGAAUUCGGUAGGGGGAGACUGGAAUUCCUGGUGUAGCGGUGAAAUGCGCAGAUAUCAGGAGGAACACCGGUGGCGAAGGCGGGUCUCUGGGCCGAUAUUGACGCUGAGGAGCGAAAGCGUGGGGAGCGAACAGG
rnacentral:rRNA from 1 species